AAAAUGACCAAUGAGGAGACAAGAUACUUUCAAAAGCUGGGACGAGGGAGAGGAACAAAGGGUCUGUGUCUGUCUGUAUGCUGCUCUUGCCAGAGACAGAACAGGAAUGGAGUCUUAGAACUUUUAGUAGCACCAUGGAAUGCUUUCCCUGCUCUUUGAGGAGUCUGGGGAGAGGAAAGAAGCAGUAAAGAGUUGGCAACAGCAGUAGCUUCAGGCACAAGCCUUGCAAAAAGAGAGUCCCUGCAUAGCAUGUGCAGGCUGAGAUGAAUGGCAGGAGUGGGGGCAGUAUUAAGGUCCACAUCUGGAGACGAGAAUCUGGAUGUGAAGGAUAAAUGGUACCACUUUACAUCCUGUGUUUGGAAGAGUCUGAUUCUGAACCUUCAAAGUAGAGAUUUCUUUUGUCAGUGGGAGCAGGAUUGAGACCCAAAUAUUAAGAACAAAUUCCUGAUGAUGUGAUACUAAGGUCUGCCUGAGGCUGCGCUAUACAUGGGACCCAAACAAGAUGCUGAUGGCUCUAAUCCCUCCUUUUGCUCCCCUCAUCCCCAACAUGGAGCUGGGCUGGUUAAUAUCCCAGAGUGUGUUAGAGCUUCCUAAUUUAUGGCUGCCUGCAGUGGUAUCUAAGCGCCUGGUUUAGAAGCCUGGGAUCAGUGGAGUGCAGUGUACUCGAGACACAUCGUUUCCCUCCCCCCCACGCCCACCUUGGCAUGCCCCUUAUGCUGGGAGUUCUUAGAGGUGAGGGUGAAGAAAUGCCUAUGCCAGCUC